rnacentral:rRNA from 1 species
UACGUAGGGGGCAAGCGUUGUCCGGAAUCAUUGGGCGUAAAGCGCGUGUAGGCGGCUCGGUAAGUCUGCUGUGAAAGUCCAGGGCUCAACCCUGGGAUGCCGGUGGAUACUGUCGAGCUCGAGUCCGGAAGAGGCGAGUGGAAUUCCUGGUGUAGCGGUGAAAUGCGCAGAUAUCAGGAGGAACACCGAUGGCGAAGGCAGCUUGCUGGGACGGUACUGACGCUGAGACGCGAAAGCGUGGGGAGCAAACAGG